GAUGAACGCUGGCGGCGUGCCUAAUACAUGCAAGUCGAGCGAACGGACGAGAAGCUUGCUUCUCUGAUGUUAGCGGCGGACGGGUGAGUAACACGUGGAUAACCUACCUAUAAGACUGGGAUAACUUCGGGAAACCGGAGCUAAUACCGGAUAAUAUUUUGAACCGCAUGGUUCAAAAGUGAAAGACGGUCUUGCUGUCACUUAUAGAUGGAUCCGCGCUGCAUUAGCUAGUUGGUAAGGUAACGGCUUACCAAGGCAACGAUGCAUAGCCGACCUGAGAGAGUGAUCGGCCACACUGGAACUGAGACACGGUCCAGACUCCUACGGGAGGCAGCAGUAGGGAAUCUUCCGCAAAGGGCGAAAGCCUGACGGAGCAACGCCGCGUGAGUGAUGAAGGUCUUCGGAUCGUAAAACUCUGUUAUUAGGGAAGAACAUAUGUGUAAGUAACUGUGCACAGCUUGACGGUAACUAAUCAGAAAGCCACGGCUAACUACGUG
rnacentral:rRNA from 1 species